ACGGGUGCGUAACGCGUGGGAAUCUGCCCCUUGGUUCGGAAUAACAGCGAGAAAUUGCUGCUAAUACCGGAUGAUGACUUCGGUCCAAAGAUUUAUCGCCAAGGGAUGAGCCCGCGUAAGAUUAGGUAGUUGGUGGGGUAAUGGCCUACCAAGCCGACGAUCUUUAGCUGGUCUGAGAGGAUGAUCAGCCACACUGGGACUGAGACACGGCCCAGACUCCUACGGGAUGCAGCAGUGGGGAAUAUUGGACAAUGGGCGAAAGCCUGAUCCAGCAAUGCCGCGUGAGUGAUGAAGGCCUUAGGGUUGUAAAGCUCUUUUACCAGGGAUGAUAAUGACAGUACCUGGAGAAUAAGCUCCGGCUAACUCCGUGCCAGCAGCCGCGGUAAUACGGAGGGAGCUAGCGUUGUUCGGAAUUACUGGGCGUAAAGCGCACGUAGGCGGCUACUCAAGUCAGAGGUGAAAGCCCGGGGCUCAACCCCGGAACUGCCUUUGAAACUAGGUAGCUAGAAUCUUGGAGAGGUCAGUGGAAUUCCGAGUGUAGAGGUGAAAUUCGUAGA
rnacentral:rRNA from 2 species